rnacentral:ribozyme from 1 species
UGCCCAGCAACUCCUAUCCCUACCUCCUCGUGAUACUGGCCGGGGUACGAGUAACCUUGGGGAAGAUCGGGUAACCAACCCCCGGUGGGAACUUUGGUCGCUGACAGGGAAGG